rnacentral:rRNA from 1 species
GACGAACGCUGGCGGCGUGCCUAAUACAUGCAAGUCGAGCGAGUCUGCCUUGAAGAUCGGAGUGCUUGCACUCUGUGAAACAAGAUACAGGCUUGCGGCGGACGGGUGAGUAACACGUGGGUAACCUGCCCAAGAGAUCGGGAUAACACCUGGAAACAGAUGCUAAUACCGGAUAACAACAGAUGAUGCCUAUCAACUGUUUAAAAGAUGGCUCUGCUAUCACUCUUGGAUGGACCUGCGGUGCAUUACCUAGUUGGUAGGGUAACGGCCUACCAAGGCGAUGAUGCAUAGCCGAGUUGAGAGACUGAUCGGCCACAUUGGGACUGAAACACGGCCCAAACUCCUACGGGAGGUAGCAGUAGGGAAUCUUCCCCAACGGACGCAAGUCUGAAGGAGCAACGCCGCGUGAGUGAAGAAGGGUUCCGGCUCAUAAAGCUCUGUUGUUGGUGAAGAAGGACAGGCGCAGCCCCUGACCUUUGUUUGACGGUAAUCCAUUAGAAAGUCACGGCUAACUACAUGCCCACAACCGCGGUACUACGUAGGUGGAAAGCCGUGCACCGGACUUAUUGCGAGCAAAGCGAGGGCACGCCGCUCGACUAAGUCUGAUGUGAAAGCCUUCGGCUCAACCGGAGAAUUGCAUCAGAAACUGUCGAGCUUGAGUACAGAAGAGGAGAGUGGAACUCCAUGUGUAGCGGUGAAAUGCGUAGAUAUAUGGAAGAACACCGGUGGCGAAGGCGGCUCUCUGGUCUGUUACUGACGCUGAGGCUCGAAAGCAUGGGUAGCGAACAGGAUUAGAUACCCUGGUAGUCCAUGCCGUAAACAAUGAGUGCUAAGUGUUGGGAGGUUUCCGCCUCUCAGUGCUGCAGCUAACGCAUUAAGCACUCCGCCUGGGGAGUACGACCGCAAGGUUGAAACUCAAAGGAAUUGACGGGGGCCCCCACAAGCGGUGGAGCAUGUGGUUUAAUUCCAAGCCACGCGAAAAACCUUACCAGGUCUUGACCUCCAUAGCCCGUCUAAAAGAAUAGAAUGUUCCCUUCGGGGACUAUAAAAAAAGGGGUGCGUGGCUGUCCUCACCUCCUGGCGUGAGAUGUUGGGUUAAAUCCCCCAACAAGCGGCACCCUUGUUCUUUUUUGUCCGCCAUUAUUUGGGGGCUCUCAUGAGACCGCCGGGUGACAAACCCCAGGAAGGGGGGGAUGACAUCCAGCCAUCUUUGCCCCUUAUAAGCUGGGCGACACACGUGCUUCAAUGGAUGGGUGCAACUAGAAGCCACCCUGUUAGGGAAGACGAUUUUUUCUAACCGCUCUCUUUUCUGAAUGUUGGUGCCACCCCCCUGCUUGAAGUUGGAUGCACUAUUUAU